rnacentral:rRNA from 1 species
UACGGAAGGCAGCAGUGGGGAAUAUUGCACAAUGGGCGAAAGCCUGAUGCAGCUAUGCCGCGUGUAUGAAGAAGGCCUUAGGGUUGUAAAGUACUUUCAUCGGGGAGGAAAAAACAAAACUAAUAAUUUUAUUUCUUGACGUUACCCGAAAAAGAAGCACCGGCUAACUCCGUGCCAGCAGCCGCGGUAAUACGGAGGGUGCUAGCGUUAAUCAGAAUUACUGGGCGUAAAGAGCACGUAGGUGGUUUUUUUAAGUCAGAUGUGAAAUCCCUGGGCUUAACCUGGAACUGCAUUUUGAAACUGAAAUACUAGAGUAUCGUAGAGGGAGGUAGAAUUCUAGGUGUAGCGGUGAAAUGCGUAGAUAUCUGGAGGAAUAUCUGUGGCGAAAGCGGCCUCCUAAACGAAUACUGACACUGAGGUGCGAAAGCGUGGGGAGCAAACAGGGAUUAGAUACC